GGUAAAAGCGUUAUAUUGAAGCUAUAGAAAUGGGAGUUCAAUUCUCUCCCGGGGCAAAGGCUAUAAUUAUAA
rnacentral:tRNA from 1 species